GGGAUUGCCUCAGUAACGGCGAGUGAAGCGGCAUCAGCUCAAAUUUGAAAUCUGGCUCCUUCGGGGUCCGAGUUGUAAUUUGUAGAGAGUGCUUCGGGGAAGAGUGCGGUCUAAGUCCGUUGGAACACGGCGUCAUAGAGGGUGAGAAUCCCGUAUGCGACCGCGGCUCGAGCCCGUGUGAAGCCUCUUCGACGAGUCGAGUUGUUUGGGAAUGCAGCUCAAAAUGGGUGGUAAAUUUCAUCUAAAGCUAAAUACUGGCUGGAGACCGAUAGCGCACAAGUAGAGUGAUCGAAAGAUGAAAAGCACUUUGGAAAGAGAGUUAAACAGUACGUGAAAUUGUUGAAAGGGAAGCGCUGGCAACCAGACCUGUCCGUAGGUGAUCAGCCGCUGUUCUCAGUGGUGCACUCGCUCUGCGAUCAGGCCAGCAUCGGUUCUGGCGGUCGGAUAAAGGCCUUGGGAAUGUAGCUUCUCUUCGGGGGAGUCUUAUAGCCCUCGGUGCAAUGCGGCCAGUCGGGACCGAGGACCGCGCUUCGGCUAGGAUGCUGGCGUAAUGGUUGUCAGCGACCCGUCUUGAAACACGGACCAAGGAGUCUAACAUCUAUGCGAGUGUUUGGGUGUUAAACCCAUGCGCGGAAUGAAAGUGAACGGAGGUGAGACCCCUUAAGGGCGCAUCAUCGACCGAUCCAGAUGUCUUCGGAUGGAUUUGAGUAUGAGCAUAGCUGUUGGGACCCGAAAGAUGGUGAACUAUGCCUGAAUAGGGUGAAGCCAGAGGAAACUCUGGUGGAGGCUCGCAGCGGUUCUGACGUGCAAAUCGAUCGUCAAAUUUGGGUAUAGGGGCGAAAGACUAAUCGAACCA
rnacentral:rRNA from 1 species